UACGUAGGGUGCGAGCGUUGUCCGGAAUUAUUGGGCGUAAAGAGCUCGUAGGCGGCUUGUCGCGUCGACUGUGAAAUCCCGCGGCUCAACUGCGGGUCUGCAGCCGAUACGGGCAGACUAGAGGUAGGCAGGGGAGAGCGGAACUCCUGGUGUAGCGGUGGAAUGCGCAGAUAUCAGGAGGAACACCGGUGGCGAAGGCGGGGUCUCUGGGCCGAAACUGACGCUGGAGGAGCGAAAGCGUGGGGAGCGAACAGG
rnacentral:rRNA from 1 species